rnacentral:rRNA from 1 species
AUGAUGAGGAACAACCGCAUAUUCCAAUCACUUGGCAUCGCUGCAUUAGGUAUGAUGGUUAGGAACUCAAAUCAAAUGCAGCAAGGUAGUGCCAUCACCGGUGGGGACUCAGCUUCUGCCAUAACACAACAAGGCUCAAGCUCUGAGUACAGUCCUGACGAUGAGGUCAUUGAGGAGGAUGAAGUUGAUGAUAUUGUAGUGGAGAAGGAAGAUAAGGUUUCUAAGAAGGCAAGGAAGUCGAUCAAUAAAAAGACUAAGAAGAGUUUUGAUAAACCUUCUGAGAUGGCUCCAGGAAAAACAAGGGUGAUUGCUCCAGCCUCAGGAGGCUCAAAGAGGGUGCUACCUGGUUUGAACUCGGAUGAACAUGAAUCUGCUCGAGUCACUAGGUAG